GACGUAGGGAGCGAGCGUUGUCCGGAUUCAUUGGGCGUAAAGAGCGCGCAGGCGGUUUGGUAAGUCGGAUGUGAAAACCCGGGGCUCAACCCCGGGCGUGCAUCUCGAUACUGCCCGACUAGAGGUAGGUAGGGGAGAUCGGAAUUCCUGGUGUAGCGGUGAAAUGCGCAGAUAUCAGGAGGAACACCGAUGGCGAAGGCGGCUGACUGGACCGGUACUGACGCUGAGGCGCGAAAGCGUGGGGAGCAAACGGG
rnacentral:rRNA from 1 species